UACGUAGGCAGCAAGCGUUGUUCGGAGUUACUGGGCGUAAAGAGUGCGUAGGUGGUGCCCUAAGUCUGUUGUGAAAUCUCCCGGCUUAACUGGGAGGGUGCGGUGGAAACUGGGGUGCUUGAGUGUGGGAGAGGUAAGCGGAAUUCCUGGUGUAGCGGUGAAAUGCGUAGAUAUCAGGAGGAAUACCGGUGGUGUAGACGGCUUACUGGACCACGACUGACACUGAGGCACGAAAGCGUGGGUAGCAAACAGG
rnacentral:rRNA from 1 species